rnacentral:rRNA from 1 species
ACGCUCGACACCUACGGGGGGCAGCAGUGGGGAAUAUUGCACAAUGGGGGAAACCCUGAUGCAGCGACGCCGCGUGAGCGAAGAAGUAUCUCGGUAUGUAAAGCUCUAUCAGCAGGGAAGAAGAUGACGGUACCUGACUAAGAAGCACCGGCUAAAUACGUGCCAGCAGCCGCGGUAAUCUGAGCGGGCUGGCAAGGC